ensembl:lncRNA
CUCAGCACUCUGGCAUCUGGGUUGGCCUUGUUAAAGGACAGAGUUGGUCUGGGUUUCUUGGGGCCCUCCCAGUGCCAGUGUGUGGUCUGUGGCUCCACUAAGGAGGCAGAUGUGCUGUGCACAGGAGAACUGUCUGUGACCCCGGAUCCAUGCACAGGUUGGAGACAUGUUCUAAGAAAGAGGUGGCUGCCCUGCCCAGUGUCUCUCCGCAUUUCCUUCUUGUAUACCACCAACCAGAAGCAGCAGGAGAUAGGUCAGUUCAGGAUUCCCUCUACACCACCUUUAUUUCUAACAGCCAGAAACUGAACAUCACCCAAAUGUCCACCAAGCAAGAAAUGGAUAAGCACACUCUGGUAUAUUCACGCAAUGGAAUACUGCUCAAAAGGCGAAUUCCCAAACACUGGACCACAAAGAAGUUGUCUUUCUUUUCCUUUUUUUUUUUAAAAAAGUGCUUUCCAUAGCACCUGGCAUUGAUUAAAUGCUCAAUAAAGUUUCAUGAUUUCUCUCCCCUUACCUUCCCUGUUGAACUCUCUGUUUGGUCAUGAAUGUUUUUGGGAUUCUAGAUCAAGAGGAGACCCAGCUACAGCAGGCAGGAAAAGCCAGUUUCUUAAAGAAACAGUUUGGCUGAGUCUAGGUCUUCUGUUCUGUCCCCACGUGGAUGCGGGUGAUUUUGGCCCCGGCUGGUGAGGGCUGGAGGCAGCCUUACCUCUGGGCUGUGAUUUGGCCUAAGAGAAGGCCUGACACUGUGGAGGCCAAGCUCUCCUUUUCUCCCAGGCCUCAGGGGGCUUUCCGCAUCCACAGUUGCUGGGCAGCCUGGGAGCCUUCACUCUCCCUCCAGGGUGGAGCAGGCUCUGUGGAGGAAGUGUCCCUAUUGUCCAGCGGGAUUCUUUGCUCACAAACACCCCGCUGAUGACUCCACAACACUGGCGCAAAACAGGGACUAGAACUUUCACAAAAGAACAAGGCUUGCUCUGUGUGGCCGCAGCAGCUGAAACUUCAGCCAGGGAGGUGGAGAUGGCAAUGCCAUUGCUAGUCUGUUCUGGCAUCAAAGACAGUCCCCGUUCGGUUAACCUUUCCUCCGAGUUCCCUGACAAAGGGCCACGGGGGAGCUGGGAGGUAUGGUCAGAGUGGGGUGGUGGACUGGACUGGUGAGCAGGUUUCAGAUGCUGUGGAAAUAAAGGGAGUUUGUUCAGCUUCUCCUGGAAGUUUUGCCUGGUGGCAGGUGAUGGUGCCAGUUUUGAGAAACAGAUUGGACCCACAAAUAUGCCCUAACGGGAAGUGAGUUGAGCUCCAAAGGCCAAACCUCUUCAAAAGGAUAUGUGUGAGCAUUGUCUGCAGUCUGGGAUCCGAGGAAUUCUGGAAAGCACGUAGCUUCCAUACCCCCUCUGUUUACCAAACACAUUGCCAGGACUCAUUUUAACCUCAUACCAAGUCCAUCCAUUUCAUGUUAUUUCCCAGUGAGGCAAUGAAGGCUCAGAGCACAUUUGAGCUACAGAGUCAGAACUCUGUCUCAGUCAUUCAUUCAACAGACACUCAGACUUGCAUCGCAUGGGCAAAGGUGCAGGGGACAGAGACAGAACAGAAGGCAAUCCCACCUUAAGGAGUUCGCAGCAUGAUAAUUUGGGUCUGCUGGUCUAUUGUAUGGUCUUGGGCAAGUUACUGAACUUUUUGAGUCUCAACCUGCCUCUUGAGAAAUCUGUAUGCAGGUCAGGAAGCAACAGUUAGAACUGGACAUGGAACAACAGACUGGUUCCAAAUAGGAAAAGGUGUACAUCAAGGCUGUAUAUUGUCACCCUGCUUAUUUAACUUACAUGCAGUGUAGAUCAUGAGGAAUGCUGGACUGGAAGAAACACAAGCUGGAAUCAAGAUUGCCGGGAAAAAUAUCAAUAACCUCAGAUAUGCAGAUGACACCACCCUUAUGGCAGAAAGUGAAGAGGAACUAAAAAGUCUCUUGAUGGAAAGUGAAAGAGAAGAGUGAGAAAGUUGGCUUAAAGCUCAACAUUCAGAAAACGAAGAUCAUGGCAUCUCGUCCCAUCACUUCAUGGGAAAUAGAUGGGGAAACAGUGGAAACAGUGUCAGACUUUAUUUUGGGGGGCUCCAAAAUCACCGCAGAUGGUGACUGCAGCCAUGAAAUUAAAAGACACUUACUCCUUGGAAGAAAAGUUAUGACCAACCUAGAUAGCAUAUUCAAAAGCAGGGACAUUACUUUGCCGGCUAAGGUCCAUCUAGUCAAGGCUAUGGUUUUUCCUGUGGUCAUGUAUGGAUGUGAGAGUUGAACCGUGAAGAACGCUGAGCGCCGAAGAAUUGAUGCAUUUGAACUGUGGUGUUGGAGAAGACUCUUGAGAGUCCCUUGGACUGCAAGGAGAUCCAAGCAGUCCAUUCUGAAGGAGAUCAACUCUGGGAUUUCUUUGGAGGGAAUGAUGCUGAAGCUGAAACUCCAGUACUUUGGCCACCUCAUGUGAAGAGUUGACUCAUUGGAAAAGACUCUGAUGCUGGGAGGGAUUGGGGGCAGUAGGAGAAGGGGACGAUCGAGGAUGUGAUGGCUGGAUGGCAUCACUGACUUGAUGGAUGUGAGUCUGAGUGAACUCUGGGAGUUGGUGAUGGACAGGGAGGCCUGGCGUGCUGCGAUUCAUGGGGUUGCAAAGAGUCGGACAUGACUGAGCGACUGAACUGAACUGAACUGAACCCUUUUAAAAGGUUUCCAUAAAGAUCAAGUGGAAUUGAAUGAGAUGAUGUAUGUCAUACACCCAGGGUCUAGCACAGAGCUGACACUCCACAAAUCUGGCCCUGAUGGCUCUCAGUGAAGAGCAGGCUGUGGUCCAGCCUGGUCUAGUGUUCCCAGGGGACCUAUAUCAGAUGGGAAGGGCCAAAGCAAUGUCUGAAGGGAGGCAGUUGGAAACUUCUCAGAGCCUUAUCCAUCCUGGGGUGAGGAGGGGAACAAGGUCCAGGGGACCGCAUUAUUGAAAAUAUAGCUCCCUCACAAAGCAGAAACCCCAACUUCACUAAUUUCACUAAAUAUAAGUCAUUCUCAUUCCACACAUAUAUUUAUUAGCACCUUCCAUUGGCCAGAUGCUGGGCACAUAUGUUGCUUGACACUCAUUCCAAGGAAUGUAUGGCUCAGUGUGGGAGGCAGACAAGCCAUGGCAGCUUCAAUGCCGCGUAUGGAUGGGGGUGCCCUGCGAUGACAGAUGACCCAGGCUUGCUGUCCUGGGGCUGCCUUCCCCAGCCCAGGCAGUGACCAUCAGAGUCCCCUUCCUGCUGUGUGGGGCUGAGUCAGCCCUCUCCAGUGUCUCUGUUCCCCAUCCAGCAUGUCCUGCCGCACUGACCAGCCAGAGCUCACAGCACCCCACUUCUGUGCUCAGAGAUCCUCAAGGGCUCCAUUAAGAUGCACACAAGGCUCCUACGGCCCCAGCUUUCAUGUCCAAAGUUACCCCGCUCAUUAUCUUGGCUCCAGGAAAACUGGUUACCAUUUCGCACUCAUAUCUACCCAGUUCCCUUCCCUAAUGUCCUCCCACUCCACCUCUGGCACCAGAGAGAUCAUAAUUUCAUAUAUAGAUUCUUUUUUAAAAACAAGUCUUUAAUUUUGUUAAUUCUCAAAUCUGUUUCUAAGUACUGAGAACAAUGGCUUACAGAAUGACAUUUCCCAGCACAGGGAACCUUGCUUUGCAGUCAUUUAGAUGGUAAAUGUUCUUUACAAAGUGCUCUUCACAGACAUUCUCUUCACAAACAGAGAAGAAGGCAGGGUGGGUGAUGCCAUUACUAGCUCCAUUUUACAGAUGAGCAAAUAGUAUCAGCAGUGGCACGGGUCAGUUUGAAAGCAAAUUCAAGGUCUGUGAACUUAGGUUCCAUGUCCAUCCUGCCUCCCCAUGUGAAUUUUAAGGUUAAAUGAGUUAUUUUUCAUUGGGGAUAUUUAUGUAAUGAAUACCGAUGAAUACCUGUUUAUUGAACAAAUUGGCAGAAGCAGCUUCCUGCCAGCUCAGCCAAUAUCCUUGUGGAGUCUGGGGUGGCAAGCAGCCAAACCAAGCUAUUAGAGACUCAGCAUCACAUUCUUCGACCUGCAGGUCUGCUCAGACACACCGGAUACCUAUUACACAGCAGGCCACUGGUUAUAGGGGCAUCUUAGGGGCACUUCAGACCCCACUCCUGCCUUCAGGAAGCAAGCAGUUCUGGUCCUCGAUGGCUAAGCCAUGUAGGCAAAUCCACUCUGGUAGAAGAGAAGGGAUAAUGCAGCAUCAGUGGAUAUGGAGUGCGAUACCGUACCCAGGGCUGCGGUGAUGCUGAAGGUGCUUUAGGCGGGGUAGGGACAGAACCCCGGAAUACUCUGUGCAGGUGGUGGAACUCACGAGAACCUGAGAGACCCACAGAGUCAAGGAAGGAAGAGAAGGGGCGAAGGAAAGGAAGAGGAUGGAUGGAAGUGGAGGGGGAAGUGGGGAAUCCAUUCCGGAGGAGGCUCUUGAUCUCCUCCUUCUAACUCUCUGCACUCCUUCUUCUGAAUUCUCUUUCUUUCCAAACUAGGGCCAAGGCCUGUUUGAAACCAUAGCUUCAGAUUUAAAAUAAACAUCUUGUAUUAAGUUUCAUGACUUUAAUUUUAUUAUCAGAUAAAUUGAAAGUUUAGGAUGUUUUUAAAACAGAAAAUGCUAGAUGAUUGUGAAUGUACGUGAUUCCUGAUGGGUCCUUAAUAGGAAAAAUUCCCAAACAAACCAUUUCCUUACCUCUGCUAUAAACCAGCCUACACUCAGGAUGAACUCUCUUUGCAGCCACAUAAAAGGCCAGCGACGCCAGUGGCCUGCUUUCUGCAUUCUCCAGGGACUGGCAGUUUCUCCCAGCUGGAACCUGGGCUGCUGUGCCUGGUGUGGGCUCCCCUGCGGUGGGGAGUGCCCCACACUCCUCCAGCAGAUUCAGUCUGCUGGGUGCAGCCGGAAGGAGAAGCUGGGGAGAGACCUGCAGUGUACAGUGGGGAGUCACUGAGUGCCAGAGUGACCAUUCUUAUGGAGAGUCAAGGGACAAAGCCCUGGAAGGAGCUAUUGAGAUUUAAUUGUGCAAACCCACGUGGCUGAUGGGAAGGACAUGGAAGGGGCUCUCGGGGGCUUCUUUCUCCUUUCUUCCCUUUCUUUCCUCUUUCUCACUUUUUCCCCCUGACUGAUGGGAUAAAAGGAAAUGCUGCGUCUGUCUGUCGCGGCCUGGGGACUUUCUUAGGGUUCUCUGUGUAGUGUUAUUUGAAAAAAGACAAAACUCCCAAACAAAACACAGUUGUAUUGGCACAAAAGUCCAACGCCACGGUUGAAGUCUCCCUUUCCAUUCCCAGAGCCGGGUUUCCCAAAUGAACCCCAGCGUAUCCAUGCAGACAAUGGGGUCCCCAGGGAGCCGCACGUGAUCAGAGCAGUGAG